UACGAAGGGUGCAAGCGUUACUCGGAAUUACUGGGCGUAAAGCGUGCGUAGGUGGUUGUUUAAGUCUGUCGUGAAAGCCCUGGGCUCAACCUGGGAAUUGCGAUGGAUACUGGGCGACUAGGGUGUGGUAGAGGGUGGCGGAAUUCCCGGUGUAGCAGUGAAAUGCGUAGAGAUCGGGAGGAACAUCCGUGGCGAAGGCGGCCACCUGGGCCAACACUGACACUGAGGCACGAAAGCGUGGGGAGCAAACAGG
rnacentral:rRNA from 1 species